rnacentral:rRNA from 1 species
GACGAACGCUGGCGGCGUGCUUAACACAUGCAAGUCGAACGGAAAGGCCCUGCUUUUGUGGGGUGCUCGAGUGGCGAACGGGUGAGUAACACGUGAGUAACCUGCCCUUGACUUUGGGAUAACUUCAGGAAACUGGGGCUAAUACCGGAUAGGAGCUCCUGCUGCAUGGUGGGGUUUGGAAAGUUUCGGCGGUUGGGGAUGGACUGGCGGCUUAUCAGCUUGUUGGGGGGGUAGUGGCUUACCAAGGCUUUGACGGGUAGCCGGCCUGAGAGGGUGGCCGGCCACAUUGGGACUGAGAUACGGCCCAGACUCCUACGGGAGGCAGCAGUGGGGAAUAUUGCACAAUGGGCGGAAGCCUGAUGAAGAAACGCCGCGUGCGGGAUGACGGCCUUCGGGUUGUAAACCGCUUUCGCCUGUGACGAAGCGUGAGUGACGGUAAUGGGUAAAGAAGCACCGGCUAACUACGUG